UGGGGAAUAUUGGACAAUGGGCGAAAGCCUGAUCCAGCAAUGCCGCGUGUGUGAAGAAGGUCUUCGGAUUGUAAAGCACUUUCGACGGGGACGAUGAUGACGGUACCCGUAGAAGAAGCCCCGGCUAAACUUCGUGCCCG
rnacentral:rRNA from 1 species